rnacentral:lncRNA from 1 species
UUCGGAUCUCUCACCGCCGACGAAUUCUACGCCAAACAUUCCGUUAGCCACUCCUCCGCUUUCAUCACCAACCCUCGUGGUCUCAAACUCUUCACUCAAUGGUGGUCACCACUCCCUCCAACUAAACCAAUCGGUAUCAUCGCCGUCGUUCACGGCUUCACCGGCGAAACCAGCUGGUUCCUCCAGCUCACAUCAAUCCUUUUCGCUAAAUCCGGUUUCAUCACUUGCGCAAUUGAUCACCAAGGCCAUGGAUUCUCCGAUGGACUCAUCGCUCAUAUCCCUGACAUCAAUCCCGUCGUCGAUGACUGUAUCUCUUUCUUCGAUGACUUUCGUAGCCGUCAAUCGCCGUCAGAUCUGCCGUGUUUUCUUUACUCUGAAUCUCUAGGCGGCGCGAUUGCUCUCUACAUCUCGCUCCGUCAGAGAGGUGUUUGGGAUGGGCUUAUCCUUAACGGAGCUAUGUGUGGAAUCAGCGAUAAAUUCAAACCGCCGUGGCCGUUGGAGCAUUUGCUCUUCGUCGUCGCGAAUCUUAUCCCUACCUGGCGCGUUAUCCCUACGCGCGGAUCUAUUCCCGAUGUUUCUUUCAAGGAGCCUUGGAAGAGGAAGCUUGCGAUGGCUAGCCCUAGAAGGACGGUGGCGAGACCACGCGCCGCCACUGCUUAUGAGCUGAUUCGUGUUUGUAAGGAUCUGCAAGAGAGGUUUGAGGAAGUGGAGGUGCCGCUUCUGAUUGUGCACGGCGGAGGCGAUGUUAUCUGCGACGUAGCGUGUGUUGAGGAGCUUCAUAGGAGAGCGAUUAGUGAGGACAAGACGAUCAAGAUCUACCCUGAGUUGUGGCAUCAGAUGAUUGGGGAAUCGGAGGAUAAAGUCGAUCUGGUUUACGGUGACAUGCUGAGCUGGCUCAAGACUCGAGCGGAAAGGAAGGCACGCGCCGGCGGAGCUUAGAGUCCCUUUUGAGUCCUUGUAUUGUAGUCCAAUAGGACAGUGCCAUCUG